rnacentral:rRNA from 1 species
UGGGGAAUCUUGCGCAAUGGGCGAAAGCCUGACGCAGCGACGCCGCGUGAGUGAUGAAGGCCUUAGGGUUGUAAAGCUCUGUGGAGAGGGACGAAUAAGCCGCAGUGAAUAGUUGCGGUGAUGACGGUACCUCUUUAGCAAGCACCGGCUAACUCUGUGCCAGCAGCCGCGGUAAGACAGAGGGUGCAAACGUUGUUCGGAAUUACUGGGCGUAAAGCGCGUGUAGGCGGCCGAGUAAGUCGGGUGUGAAAGCCCAGGGCUCAACCUUGGAAGUGCACUCGAAACUGCACGGCUAGAGUCUCGGAGAGGGAAGCGGAAUUCUGGGUGUAGAGGUGAAAUUCGUAGAUAUCCAGAGGAACACCAGUGGCGAAGGCGGCUUCCUGGACGAGUACUGACGCUGAGACGCGAAAGCGUGGGGAGCAAACAGGAUUAGAUACCCCGGUAGUCC